AGGCGGGGCAACGGGGCGACCGCCCUGGGCCCUCUGGAGGCAGGGGCCCCGGCCCAGGUACUAGUCCAGCACACCAGGCAACCAUCGGCAUCGUUACUUCCCGAGAAAAAAUCAAGGAUGAGCACGACGCAUCGUUUUCUUAUCCUCUGGACCUGAGUCGCAUCGUUGACUCGCGUCCGCCCACGCCCAGCCCUCUCCAAAUUCUCCAAUCAGGACGGCGGCGUCGCCUCAAAUCUUGCUCUUUCCUUUCCAAUUUCAAGAUCACUGAUUCUCCGCAUCUAUUGAUGGGCAGGGCAAUGGUGCUAUUUGGUUCCCCAAUCACCUCUCUUUCUUUCCAUUCCCAAGAACAGGACCACAUCAACGAUGAGAGAUGGCUCGUUCUUGAGAUCCUCAAGGGUCAAUUGGAUCUGAGCGUGAGGAGACAAAGCAGUGAGAAAAUUUGGAGAAGAAGAGGGGACGGGGAAUCAGCGAGGCGAUCUUCCCCUUUUGUCUUCAUGCUGAGUAUUGCAAGCUGCAAAUCAAUAAAUCUUCAUCGGCAGUUCGACAUAUCCAGGUGCUUUUGUUCCCUGUAUUGACUGUUUUUUGCAAAUUAUUUCCGUGACAUGUUGCCUAGAAAAAGUUUGUCUGUAAACGUGAAAAGGAGAAGAAAAAAGAGAGAGAUGAAUUGGUAGAAUCUCAGAGAGGCUCGAUUGACAAUUUUUUUAGAACCGGUAGUUCUUCCAGGAAUUCCCUGCAAUUAGCCCUAGUUAAUGUUGAAGAGCAGCACACUGAGAAUUUAGGCGAUGAUUAUGAUACCAACGAGGUCGAUAAUAAUUUUAGUCAGCAUGAAAAUCUAGUUGAUUCACCGAAUUCGGAAAUUCCAAGUGUCGAUGAACAACAACCUUUUACUACUGAUAUUCUUGAUCCACGACAUUGGGACAAUUUGGAUGAUAAAUCUAGGCAUACUUUAAUUGAAAUGGGGCUUGUAAGCCUAGGAAACUGAACAAGUGCUAAAUUUGCUUUACUAUUUCUUAUGUAGGUAUCUUUGGAGAAUUUUUAUUCUGGUGAACAUAGCAGAUUGAAGGGAUAGAAUAUGAUAUUGAGUGAUGAAAUGAUGGUCACCUUCUGGCAUUUAGAAGAUCGAUCUUUUGUAUAGCUACAAUCUAUUCCUUCUAUCAUUACGUGGUUCUCUGGAAUUAAUGUUGCGAAUAUAUGUCUUGUGGGAGUUUUGUAGUUUAAAAGACCAUCGAUAUAAGUUAUGUACUCAGUUUCUCUUGAAAUAUAAUGCAUUCUGAAAGAAAAAAAAAUAACAACAAGGGCCCUUUUUGUUGUCUCGCCCCAGGGCCCUGAAUAUGUAUGGACCGGCCCUGCGCCCAGCAGCCAGAAGCACACGCCCAGAUCCACCGAGGGAAAUAGAGCGGCGCAGCCACCGGCUCCCAGAUGCGUGGUCGAUGGUCGAGAAGACCACCUCCCCAAGCCAAAAUCUAGAGCCGAUUUAUUGAAGACCGCCACCAUGGUUGGCAGAGCAAGAACGGCGGCGAGCCAUAUCCUAAGAAAGUAAACUAAACCUAGUCUACUUCUAUACAGAUCCGCACGGUGGC